rnacentral:rRNA from 1 species
UACAGAGACUGCAAGCGUUAUUCGGAUUCACUGGGCGUAAAGAGCGUGUAGGCGGCCAAGUAAGUCUGCUGUGAAAACUCGAGGCUUAACCUCGAGCUGUCGGCGGAAACUAUUUGGCUAGAGUCCGGAAGAGGAGAAUGGAAUUCCCGGUGUAGCGGUGAAAUGCGCAGAUAUCGGGAAGAACACCCGUGGCGAAGGCGGUUCUCUGGGACGGUACUGACGCUGAGACGCGAAAGCGUGGGGAGCGAACAGG